rnacentral:tRNA from 1 species
UGGGGACUCGUCUAAUGGCAGGACAGCAGACUCUGAAUCUGUAUGUAGAGGUUCGAAUCCUUUGUCCCCAGCUA